rnacentral:rRNA from 1 species
AACGAACGCUGGCGGCAUGCCUAACACAUGCAAGUCGAACGAGACCUUCGGGUCUAGUGGCGCACGGGUGCGUAACGCGUGGGAAUCUGCCCCUGGGUUCGGAAUAACAGUAAGAAAUGACUGCUAAUACCGGAUGAUGUCUUCGGACCAAAGAUUUAUCGCCCAAGGAUGAGCCCGCGUAGGAUUAGCUAGUUGGUGAGGUAAAGGCUCACCAAGGCGACGAUCCCUAGCUGGGCUGAGAGGCUGAUCAGCAACCCUGGGACUGAGACAGGGCCCAGACUACUACGGGAGGCAGCAGUGGGGAAUAUUGGACAAUGGGCGAAAGCCUGAUCCAGCAAUGCCGCGUGAGUGAUGAAGGCCCUAGGGUUGUAAAGCUCUUUUACCCGGGAUGAUAAUGACAGUACCGGGAGAAUCAGCCCCGGCUAACUCCGUGCCAGCCGCCGCCGUAA